AUACGUAGGUGACAAGCGUUAUCCGGAUUUACUGGGCGUAAAGGGCGCGUAGGCGGCUUAGCAAGUCUGGAGUGGAAGUCCUGUUUUCAAGGCAGGAAUUGCUUUGGAAACUGCAGAGCUUGAGUGCAGGAGAGGUCAUCGGAAUUCCCGGUGUAGCGGUGAAAUGCGUAGAGAUCGGGAGGAACACCAGUGGCGAAGGCGGGUGACUGGACUGCAACUGACGCUGAGGCGCGAAAGUGUGGGGAGCAAACAGGAUUAGAUACCCUGGUAGUCCACGCCGUAGACGAUGAGUGCUAGGUGUUGGGGGUCAAACCUCGGUGCCGCAGUUAACACAUUAAGCACUCCGCCUGGGGAGUACGUGCGCAAGCAUGAAACUCAAAUGAAUUGACGGGG
rnacentral:rRNA from 1 species